UACAGAGGUCCCAAGCGUUGUUCGGAUUUAUUGGGCGUAAAGGGUGCGUAGGCGGCAGUGUAAGUUGGACGUGAAAUCCUGGGGCUCAACCUCAGAAUUGCGUUCAAUACUGCAUUGCUAGGGCGCUGUAGAGGAGAUUGGAAUUUACGGUGUAGCAGUGAAAUGCGUAGAUAUCGUAAGGAAGACCAGUGGCGAAAGCGAAUCUCUGGGCAGCAGCCGACGCUGAGGCGCGAAAGCGUGGGGAGCAAACAGG
rnacentral:rRNA from 1 species